rnacentral:rRNA from 1 species
AUUGAACGCUGGCGGCAGGCUUAACACAUGCAAGUCGAGCGGGGGAAGGUAGCUUGCUACCGGACCUAGCGGCGGACGGGUGAGUAAUGCUUAGGAAUCUGCCUAUUAGUGGGGGACAACAUCUCGAAAGGGAUGCUAAUACCGCAUACGUCCUACGGGAGAAAGCAGGGGAUCUUCGGACCUUGCGCUAAUAGAUGAGCCUAAGUCGGAUUAGCUAGUUGGUGGGGUAAAGGCCUACCAAGGCGACGAUCCGUAGCGGGUCUGAGAGGAUGAUCCUGCAGCCUGGACUGAGGAACGGCCCAGACUCCUAGGAGAGGCAGCAGUGGGGAAUAUUGGACAAUGGGGGGAACCCGGAUCCAGCCAUGCCGCGUGUGUGAAGAAGGCCUUAUGGUUGUAAAGCACUUUAAGCGAGGAGGAGGCUACUCUAGUUAAUACCUAGGGAUAGUGGACGUUACUCGCAGAAUAAGCACCGGCUAACUCUGUGCCAGCAGCCGCCGCUG